rnacentral:misc_RNA from 1 species
UAGGGAGACCUACACCCCUUACAUAUCGAAAAACACACAGUUAAAUAGAUAGUAAGUUGGUCUAACCUAGGUCGGUCGCAGAUAUUUGCAAAAUGUUGAACGCUUUCAAACUAUGAUGAAGGUUCGAAAUAUUGCGAAUGAUAUAAAAUAUAGAGAGUUCAGCAACAUGACUUUCGGGUCAGACUGCUGAGUAGUAUCUCAGCCAGAACCUUGAAAACUGCAUAGUAACGCGAAAUUAGCAGGCAGACACAGACAUUCCGAAAGGAUGUUUUUGUGAAUGCAAAUUGUGAAACACCAAAAGAAUUGAGU